rnacentral:rRNA from 1 species
AUACGGGAGGCAGCAGUAAGGAAUAUUGGACAAUGGGCGCAAGCCUGAUCCAGCCAUGCCGCGUGCAGGAUUAAGGCCCUAUGGGUUGUAAACUGCUUUUAGUAGGGAAAAAACCCUCGUUCGUGAACGAGGCUGAUGGUACCUACAGAAUAAGGAUCGGCUAACUCCGUGCCAGCAGCCGCGGUAAUACGGAGGAUCCAAGCGUUAUCCGGAUUUAUUGGGUUUAAAGGGUGCGUAGGCGGAUUAAUAAGUCAGUGGUGAAAGCCUGCAGCUUAACUGUAGAACUGCCAUUGAUACUGUUAGUCUUGAAUGUAGUUGAGGUGGGCGGAAUAUGACAUGUAGCGGUGAAAUGCUUAGAUAUGUCAUAGAACACCGAUUGCGAAGGCAGCUCACUAAGCUAUAAUUGACGCUGAGGCACGAAAGCGUGGGGAGCAAACAGGAUUAGAUACCCCUGUAC